GUCCCAAAUCAUUAAACAAGCACACGGACUAAAAUCGGGAGGAUACAGAGAAGAUUAGCAUGGCCCCUGGGCAAGGAUGACACACUAAAUUAUCAAACAAAACAAGGUACU
ensembl:snRNA U6 U6 spliceosomal RNA